rnacentral:rRNA from 1 species
CCAGUCCUACGGGGGUAGCAGUGAGGAAUAUUGGUCAAUGGUCGGGAGACUGAACCAGCCAAGCCGCGUGAGGGAUGAAGGUACAGAGUAUCGUAAACCUCUUUUGUCAGGGAACAAAGGCGGGGACGUGUCCCCGGAUGAGUGUACCUGAAGAAAAAGCAUCGGCUAACUCCGUGCCAGCAGCCGCGGUAAUACGGAGGAUGCGCGCGUUAUCCGGAUUUAUUGGGUUUAAAGGGUGCGCAGGCGGUCUGUUACGUCAGCGGUCAAAGCCCGGGGCUAAACCCCGGCCCGCCGUUGCA